UACGGGGGGAGCAAGCGUUGUUCGGAUUUACUGGGCGUAAAGGGCGCGUAGGCGGCGCAACAAGUCACUUGUGAAAUCUCCGGGCUUAACCCGGAGCGGCCAAGUGAUACUGUCGUGCUAGAGUGCGGAAGGGGCUACUGGAAUUCUCGGUGUAGCGGUGAAAUGCGUAGAUAUCGAGAGGAACAGCCUGCGGCGAAGGCGGGAUAGCUGGGCCGACACGUGACGCUGAGGCGCGAAAGCGUGGGGAGCGAACAGGAUUAGAUACCCCG
rnacentral:rRNA from 1 species